UCAACUAAACUGUUCACUGUACAGUCAAAUAACAUCUAAUGUUCAGCAUUUACAUCUAGCAAACAUGUUGACAAUGGAGUCGCAAAGAAUUUGGCAUUUCAUCUUUAUGGUGAUUCUGUCUCAACAAGGUAUCAAUGGUGAUGAAAUCCGAUUAGAUCAGUCACCUGCUGAGAUAAAGAGACCUGGAGAAACAGUGAAGAUCUCCUGUAAAACAUCUGGUUUUACAAUGACAAGCUACUGGAUGCACUGGAUACGACAGAAACCUGGAAAAGCUCUGGAGUGGAUUGGGAGAGUUAACUCUGGUAGUGUUGAUUAUGCAGAUACAAUGAAAAAUCACUUCACUAUGAGUGAGGACGUGUCUCAAAGUACACAGUAUCUUGAAGCCAAGAGUCUGAGAGAAGAGGACACUGCUGUUUAUUACUGUGCUCGACAGACACACUGACUCCAUCUGAUGAAGCAGCUCUACAAGAACUGACAACCACAGUUAGGAAAGACCAGUUAUUAGGCUGUGAAUAAUAUAUUUGCUCUUAUUAUCAUAAUUAUGAAGUAUUAGUAGUUGUUGUGGCUACAGUAAUCAUAAA